rnacentral:rRNA from 1 species
GUUUGGUUAAGUUAGAAAGGGCGCACGGUGGAUGCCUUGACACUAGGAGUCGAUGAAGGACGGGACUAACGCCGAUAUGCUUCGGGGAGCUGUAAGUAAGCUUUGAUCCGAAGAUUUCCGAAUGGGGAAACCCACCAUACGUAAUGGUAUGGUAUCCUUAYCUGAAUACAUAGGGUAAGGAAGACAGACCCAGGGAACUGAAACAUCUAAGUACCUGGAGGAAGAGAAAGCAAAUGCGAUUUCCUGAGUAGCGGCGAGCGAAACGGAACAUAGCCCAAACCAAGAGGCUUGCCUCUUGGGGUUGUAGGACAUUCUAUACGGAGUUACAAAGGAACGAGGUAGACGAAGCGACCUGGAAAGGUCCGUCGUAGAGGGUAACAACCCCGUAGUCGAAACUUCGUUCUCUCUUGAAUGUAUCC